GUUCGUCAGAACAACAGAGAAGCUCUGAGCACUGAACACCCAGCAUUGUUGUUUUCCAGUGAGUAACCUUUCUAUUGGUUUCUCUAACAGCAUUUUCUUUAUGAGAACUGAUUGAACAAUAUUAGCGUACAUGUCAGGGAAGUUUGCAUCGCAUAUGACUUGUGGUUCAUGUAAAUUCUGCCAGUGAGUAUGUAACUCUGGAGGGAAAAUUUUACUCAAUUUCAAACCAGAUCCUCAUACAGCAGAGCUAUUACUUCCAGGCUGGGUACUACAAAGAUCAAUAAAACCAAAUAAGUAUCGCGUACCUGCUGUGGAACUCAUCUCUAUUGAGCAGCAGGAGGACCUGGUGCACAGGGUGAGCCUGCCAAAUCCAUGCAGCUAUGCACAUGGCUUCAGGGAGAAGGUUGGAAGGAGAGCGAAAGCACAAGGAGCCCACAGAGUCUCUGCAUUAUUGGCUGCAACCAGGUGCUCUGCAGUCUGUCAUUCUUCUGUCAGAGUUCUAUCCUGUUCAGUUACCUGGUCUAUUACUUCCCAUGUGAGGCCACGGGAACUGGAACUGGAACUCAUCCAUCCAUAUCUCAACGAAACCAGGGGCGUGCUGGAUUAGGUUAAACAAAAGCGGCAAACAACGACCUGAUCUUUCGAAGCAAUAGAUGACCCCUGUUUCCGUGUAUGAUCAAAAGGCCAGUACUGAAUCCAUCAAUCCGUUUCCCGUGGGUGGUUGGCUGCGGUGGCUCACACGUGUCGAGCUUCAGGAAUAGCAUGCCUGCACGGCGGUUUGCAGGCACUCGUCAUCUACUCUAUCCGUUUCCAGGGGUCCCUGGUCCUGCGUUUGGUGAGUGCUAAGGACGGCCGAUUUGGGUAAGUUGGUUAUUUGGUUUAGCUGGAGAACAGUCGCCUGGCUCUUGGUGGUUAGAUUUAUAUUCUAGGGUUCAUUUCAUGUAGUGGCUACCUGUCCAUCAUUUAUCAUAUAUAUGUCUCGGUACGUAAAAGGACCUUAGUAGGCUUGUAGGAGCGAGGGUUCUAAUAAGUUAUGUCAGAAAUUAGCAGCAACUUAAUUUGGUGGUUUCGUGGCUUUUAGAAUGAACCUUGGAUCUCCUUCUCACAAGUAAGGGUGGAAUGGAAGUAGCUAAAACAUUUAUUGUGGGCCAGCAAAAUUAGAAGGGCAAUAACACAAGUGCUCAUAGGUUGGGGGUCACUGCAACCUACCAUGUCGGCACCCAAUUACUACUCUUCUUGUCAGCAUUGCCCGAUGAUGCACGCUACCGCUUUGCCAAUAACCCAAGCAUUACUUGCCAACUAGCCAUGUACCUUGUGGCAUGGCUACCAUAAUGGUUGCGUUGCGUUGUGUCUCUUAUGUAAAUAAAUAAAUAUAUAUUAUUCUCUACUGCGUAGUUAGUCUGGUGUACGUG